rnacentral:rRNA from 1 species
GAUGAACGCUGGCGGCGUGCCUAAUACAUGCAAGUCGAGCGAACAGACGAGGAGCUUGCUCCUCUGACGUUAGCGGCGGACGGGUGAGUAACACGUGGAUAACCUACCUAUAAGACUGGGAUAACUUCGGGAAACCGGAGCUAAUACCGGAUAAUAUAUUGAACCGCAUGGUUCAAUAGUGAAAGACGGUGUUGCUGUCACUUAUAGAUGGAUCCGCGCCGCAUUAGAUGGUUGGUAAGGUAACGGCUUACCAAGGCAACGAUGCGUAGCCGACCUGAGAGGGGGAUAGCCGACACGGGAAGUGAGACGGCGACAUGGCGCCUGAGAGAGGCCGCAGAAUGGAACCUUCCGCAACGGGGGAAAAUCUGGCGGAAUAACGGCACGUGAGAGGUGACGGCGUUCGGUGCGUAAAGACCUGUUAUGAGGGAAAAACAAAUGUGGAAGUUACUAUGCAGGUCUUGACGGUAACUAAUCAGAAAGCAACGGCUAACUACGUG